rnacentral:rRNA from 1 species
AGUGAACGCUGGCGGCAGGCCUAAUACAUGCAAGUCGAACGGCAGCACAGUGGAGCUUGCUCCAUGGGUGGCGAGUGGCGGACGGGUGAGGAAUACAUGGGAAUCUGCCCAGUCGUGGGGGAUAACGUAUGGAAACGUACGCUAAUACCGCAUGCGCCCUUCGGGGGAAAGUCGGGGACCGCAAGGCCUGACGCGAUUGGAUGAGCCCAUGUUCGAUUAGCUAGUUGGCGGGGUAACGGCCCACCAAGGCGACGAUCGAUAGCUGGUCUGAGAGGAUGAUCAGCCACACUGGAACUGAGACACGGUCCAGACUCCUACGGGAGGCAGCAGUGGGGAAUCUUCCGCAAUGGGCGAAAGCCUGACGGAGCAACGCCGCGUGGGUGAAGAAGGCCUUCGGGUUGUAAGACCCUGUCUUAUGGACGAGGAGGAGACGGUACCAUAGGAGGAAGCCACGGCGUAACUAACGUGCCAGCAGCCGCGGUAAUGCUACGUACG